GACGAACGCUGGCGGCGUGCCUAAUACAUGCAAGUAGAACGCUGAAGAGGGGAGCUUGCUCUUCUUGGAUGAGUUGCGAACGGGUGAGUAACGCGUAGGUAACCUGCCUUGUAGCGGGGGAUAACUAUUGGAAACGAUAGCUAAUACCGCAUAACAAUGGAUGACACAUGUCAUUUAUUUGAAAGGGGCAAUUGCUCCACUACAAGAUGGACCUGCGUUGCAUUAGCUAGUAGGUGAGGUAAUGGCUCACCUAGGCGACGAUACAUAGCCGACCUGAGAGGGUGAUCGGCCACACUGGGACUGAGACACGGCCCAGACUCCUACGGGAGGCAGCAGUAGGGAAUCUUCGGCAAUGGGGGCAACCCUGACCGAGCAACGCCGCGUGAGUGAAGAAGGUUUUCGGAUCGUAAAGCUCUGUUGUAAGUCAAGAACGGGUGUGAGAGUGGAAAGUUCACACUGUGACGGUAGCUUACCAGAAAGGGACGGCUAACUACGUG
rnacentral:rRNA from 1 species